UGCAAGUCGAGCGGCAGCGCGGUAGCAAUACUGGCGGCGAGCGGCGGACGGGUGAGCAAUGCUUGGGAAUCUGCCUAUCAGUGGGGGACAACCCGGGGAAACUCGGGCUAAUACCGCAUACGUUCUUCGGAAGAAAGCAGGGGAUCGCAAGACCUUGCGCUGAUAGAUGAGCCCAAGUCGGAUUAGCUAGUUGGUGAGGUAAUGGCUCACCAAGGCGACGAUCCGUAGCUGGUCUGAGAGGACGACCAGCCACACCGGAACUGAGACACGGUCCGGACUCCUACGGGAGGCAGCAGUGGGGAAUAUUGGACAAUGGGGGCAACCCUGAUCCAGCGACGCCGCGUGGGUGAAGAAGGCCUGCGGGUUGUAAAGCCCUUUCGUUGGGGAAGAAAAGUGUCGACCUAACACGUCGGCACCUUGACGUUACCCAAAGAAGAAGCACCGGCUAACUCUGUGCCAGCAGCCGCGGUAAUACAGAGGGUGCGAGCGUUAAUCGGAAUUACUGGGCGUAAAGCGCACGUAGAUGGCUUCGUAAGUCGGGUGUGAAAUCCCCGGGCUUAACCUGCGAACGGCAUUCGAAACUGCGUUGCUCGAAUGUGGAAGAGGGAAGCGGAAUUCCAGGUGUAGCGGUGAAAUGCGUAGAUAUCUGGAGGAACAUCAGUGGCGAAAGCGGCUUCCUGGUCCAACAUUGACAUUCACGUGCGAAAGCGUGGGGAGCAAACAGGAUUAGAUACCCUGGUAGUCCACGCCAUAAACGAUGCGAACUAGAUGUCGGGAGGGUCAGCCUCCCGGUGUCGCAGCUAACGCGAUAAGUUCGCCGCCUGGGGAGUAC
rnacentral:rRNA from 1 species